rnacentral:rRNA from 1 species
UGGGGAAUUUUGGGCAAUGGGCGAAAGCCUGACCCAGCAACGCCGCGUGAGGGAGGAAAUCCUUCGGGAUGUAAACCUCGCAAGCAAGGGAAGACAGCUAGAGAUUUAAUAAAUUUCUAGUCCGACGGUACCUUGCGUAAGCCACGGCUAACUACGUGCCAGCAGCCGCGGUAAUACGUAGGUGGCAAGCGUUGUUCGGAAUUACUGGGCGUAAAGGGCGCGUAGGCGGCCCUCUAAGUCAGACGUGAAAUCCCCCGGCUUAACCUGGGAACUGCGUCUGAUACUGGAGGGCUUGAGUAUGGGAGAGGGAUGUAGAAUUCCAGGUGUAGCGGUGAAAUGCGUAGAUAUCUGGAGGAAUACCGGUGGCGAAGGCGGCAGUCCUGGACCAUUACUGACGCUGAGGCGCGAAAGCUAGGGGAGCAAACGGGAUUAGAUACCCCCGUAGUCCCUGAGCGGGCUGGCAAGGCGCAU